rnacentral:rRNA from 1 species
UGACCGUAAGGACAUGUGGACAGUAUGGGAGUGAGAAUGUUGGCAUGAGUAGCGAGAUGUGGGUGAGAAUCCCACAGGCCGUAAACCCAAGGUUUCCAGGGGAAGGUUCGUCCGCCCUGGGUUAGUCGGGACCUAAGCUGAGGCCGAAAGGCGUAGGUGAUGGACAACAGGUUGAUAUUCCUGUACUACCGAUAACCAUUUGAGAGAAGGGAUGACACAGUAGGAUAAGCUAAGCACACUGUUGGUUAUGUGUGCCCAAGCAUUGAGGCAGUCAAAGUAGGCAAAUCCGCUUUGAUAAUGCUGGGAUGUGAUGGGGAGCGAAAUUUAGUAGCGAAGUAGCUGAUUUCACACUGUCAAGAAAAGUCUCUAUCGAGGUUAAAGGUACCCGUACCGCAAACCGACACAGGUGGGUGAGGAGAGUAUCCUAAGGCCAGCGAGAGAACUGUUGUUAAGGAACUCGGCAAAAUGACCCCGUAACUUAGGGAUAAGGGGUGCCACCAUCAGGUGGCCGCAGAGAAUAGGCCCAAGCGACUGUUUACCAAAAACAUAGGUUUCUGCUAAGUCGCAAGACGAUGUAUAGGAGCUGACGCCUGCCCGGUGCUGGAAGGUUAAGGGGAUCUGUUAGAGCAAUCGAAGCAGUGAACUUAAGCCCCAGUAAACGGCGGCCGUAACUAUAACGGUCCUAAGGUAGCGAAAUUCCUUGUCGGGUAAGUUCCGACCCGCACGAAAGGCGUAACGAUUUGGGCACUGUCUCAACAACAGACUCGGUGAAAUUGUAAUUCCGGUGAAGAUGCCGGAUACCUGCGACAGGACGGAAAGACCCCAUGGAGCUUUACUGUAGCUUGACAUUGGGUCUUGGUACUACAUGUACAGGAUAGGUGGGAGGCUUUGAAACCAGGACGCCAGUUUUGGCGGAGCCAUCCUUGGGAUACCACCCUUGUAGUACUGGGACUCUAACCAUAGGCCAUGAAUCUGGUCUUGGGACACUGUCAGGUGGGCAGUUUGACUGGGGCGGUCGCCUCCCAAAAGGUAACGGAGGCGCUCAAAGGUUCUCUCAGUACGGUCGGAAAUCGUACGUAGAGUGUAAAGGCAAAAGAGAGCUUGAUUGCAAGACAUACAGGUCGAGCAAGGAUGAAAAUCGGACUUAGUGAUCCGGUGGUUCUGCGUGGAAGGGCCAUCGCUCAACGGAUAAAAGCUACCCUGGGGAUAACAGGCUUAUCUCCCCCAAGAGUCCACAUCGACGGGGAGGUUUGGCACCUCGAUGUCGGCUCAUCACAUCCUGGGGCUGUAGUAGGUCCCAAGGGUUGGGCUGUUCGCCCAUUAAAGUGGUACGCGAGCUGGGUUCAGAACGUCGUGAGACAGUUCGGUCCCUAUCCGUCGCAGGCGUAGGAAAUUUGAGAAGACCUGUCCUUAGUACGAGAGGACCGGGAUGGACG